rnacentral:misc_RNA from 1 species
UCCGGCUUAACGCCGGCAGUCCCCCUAGAGUGCCCAACUAAAUGCUGGCAACAUGCGACGGGGGUUGCGCUCGUUGCGGGACUUAACCCAACAUCUCACGACACGAGCUGACGACAGCCAUGCACCACCUGUGAUAGUGCCCCGAAGGGAAGCCGUGUUUCCACGGCGGUCACUAACAUGUCAAGCCCAGGUAAGGUUCUUCGCGUCGCGUCGAAUUAAACCACAUGCUCCGCUGCUUGUGCGGGCCCCCGUCAAUUCCUUUGAGUUUCAGCCUUGCGGCCGUACUCCCCAGGCGGGGCACUUACUGCGUUAGCGACGGCACUCAGAGGGUCGCUCCCCCAAGCACCUAGUGCCCAUCGUUUACGGCGUGGACUAC